UCACCCAUAGUUUGAAGACGCUAAAGGGAUAAUCGGGGGAUUUCAGCCUUCCCUUCCUGUUUCGACGACGAUUGAAUGCUUCCGUUUGUAAUCGAUUCAAUUCCUUCAACCCUGCUUCAAUUCAUGCUCUAAUGUUUCAACUUAAUCUGGUUGAAUUUGAAGGCAACAUGAAAGAGCUUGGAUUGUGGCAGCGUCGGAUAUCCAUAUGUCGAGAACGUGAAACCCAUUCCAGAUCUUCAGGAAACAUGGCUAAUUUAUGGAACAAAACUUAAAGUAAAAAUUUUAAAAAGUGCAGGGGAGCAUUUGUAAAAGAGGUUUGUAGUGUAAACUGAUUCUGAAACUUUAGGUGUUCGAUUUUAUAAAUUUUUUGGAGAAAAAAUUUACAGUUAUUCGCUUUUGCAGAUAACUUCUGCAUUGUACUCAUGAUAUACAUCUGAAAUAGUAAUUGUCUAUUGUGUAUUAGGUAUCGUGAUUGACACAAGUACUCCAAAUAUGUGUUUGGUUGGGAAAUACUAGAAGUAAUCUAAAAUGUGUUUGGUUGAGAAAUACUGGAAUUUUCUGUCAAAAUUAAAUUAUUUUGAAUACAAAAUAUGUUUUUAAAAUAUAAUGAGUUUUGUGUACGGGAGUUGCCCUGUUUGUUUUUUAGUUGAUUUAUACUGUGGUUGUGUCAUACUCACACAGUUUGACACACCAGACGAAAACUUAGGACGUCGUUCGUGUUAUCGUCAUUGUCAAUACACGACAUUAGGUAAAUUCCCCCUGACUAGAUUUCUCAAUUACUUCAAAUGCUUACAUUUUGUUUCUAAGGAUGUUUAGUGCUGAAUGUCGGGCUGGUGUUUUGGUAGUUUACUUUUUUUUGUAUUUUAUAAUGCUUUUCUUUUGUGGGAUGAUAACAACUAUCAUGUAGUUGCCUAUGGGGUUGUGGCCUCCUGCGAACCAUCGGCGAGCCACCUCUCCGGUGAGGGUGCGUUUUGGGUUCAACAUGAAGGAAUGCAAAUCUUUUCAAUUGAUGUUCAACUUGGUGGGCUUAGAUUUCCCAUUGGUGGUGGUGAUCACAAGGUAUUAAUGUAUUAUUGUUAAUGUUUAUUGGGUUUUUGAUUCUUAAAUUUUAGUGUUGUUUUGCCAAGAAAGUUUUGAAUUUUGUUUGAAUUUCUAGGGUUUGAAGAUAAAUUGUGAUAGUAUGAUGUUCUUGUAGUUGUAUGAUAGUAUUACAUGUGGUCAUGUAAAUUGAAUUUAGGUAAAAUAUUAUCAGUUAAAUGAAAAUUGUGAGAAUUUGAUCCCUGAUUCACUUAACUGCACCAUCAACCACUGCCAUAUAAUUAGAUUAUAGCCGUGUAUAAUCUAAUUUCUAGAUUAUAAUUUCACCUUUUGUCUUUGUUGUGCCUGCAACAACCGUAUGUGGCGGCGAUUGGGGGAAUUACAUGUGUUGUUCAAUCUUAAUUCUAAUACACGAUCAAUUUCUGUGACGACGAUCGGUAAUUCUUCGAGAUGUUUAGGAUCAAGGGAAACUGGCUAUUAGUUGGACCAUUACACUCAAGCAACUGAAAUUUUUAUGAAUUACAUAAUGAAGUUAGUUUUGUAGAGUACAUGGUACUAUGGCCGAAGAGUUUAUUCCACCUUUACUCGGCAACAAAAGUUUCCACGCGCCGCUGGUUCUGUCUGUUUAAAGUGUAAAUUUAUAGUGUUGUACCUGUAUGUUUUGUUAGUGUUUCUAUAGAUCUAUUGUGGCUGUAAUCAUCUCAAGAACAUAAUUUCUUGCUGCUUCUUUGCGUCUUCUGAAAUUGUAAAGAUAAGGCUAAAGAUGCUAUUUACUUAUACAGAAGGCAUAUUAAUGGUUUUGCCCAGUAAGUAGUUGAUGAUGUAAAUGUUGUCUUGAGAUGGAUAUGGUGAAAACACAUCACAUGAAACUUUGACACAGCUAUACUAAUCCAGAUAUCAUACCGGAGCUCAUAUAUACAAUAAGACACACUACCGAGCUUUUUCAGCAUUAGUUCAACAGUCGACUCCAGCCGGGCUUGACACUAUUUGUUGUAAACCAGGUCUUUAAUGGCCUGAACCAUCACCUAACUGCCCGACCCGCCCAACAUUCCAACCGAUUCUUAAUAACAGUGUACUAAUUAUUACCAUCUACACAUGAUUCUUAUGGAAGAUAUCGAUUAUCUAAAAAGUAACAUAUUAUUAUAAAGAUAAAUCGUUCAUUUAAAAACUAACAGUACUUGAUAAGCUAUUUACAAAGUCUACUUAACAAAAUGUAUUCAUUUGACACAGAAGAAGACCCCAACAAGAAAGCCAAGACGGAAGACCCACACCGAUCUUAGUAAAUGCAUCGUUCAAGUUGGUACUUUUCGGCCAAGUAACUUGAACGAUGCUUUUGUGUCAAGUGAAUCGUGUUGUUUUGGCAUAGAGAGGGUCUUGUUUAUAAAAAAGUGAGGUGAGAUGCAAGCUUUGUUACAUGGGGCUUAUGUUCUCUUGAUCUUUGAAAACGUUCCUGUUUAUAAAAGUAACAAUAGUUUUACACCUCUGAAACUUUAAAGGCAGAGAAAAAAAAAGCUUCAUUAUCUACUAGG